rnacentral:lncRNA from 1 species
AAAAAGUAUGAGAGAGAGUGAUGAAAAGUUAUGUAAAAAUCUGAUAAUGAUGAGUGAUUAAGGAAAAAAGAGUGGUUAAGAAUGGUUUAAGUGGGUGGGGCCCACAAAAAUUUAAAAUUUUCAAAAAAAAAAUCAAAAAUUUCGCACGCCUGACACUGCCGUGUCAGCUGACACGGGUGGCCGUGUCAGGCUACUGUUUUUAGCAUUUUCCCAACUUCUUUUACAUUGGUCCUAACACGGGCCGUGUCAGCUGACACGGC